UAAAUAAAUUUUAUAUGGUUUAAUUAAAUUUAUUUUAUAUUUAUUUUACAUAUAAAUUUUAGUAUGAAUAAAUUAUUUAUUUUAAUAAUAUUAUUUAUUAGUAGUAAUUAAUAUUAAAAAUUUAAGAAAUUAAGAUUUAGUAAUAUAUAAAUUAUUAACAAAUUUUGUGCCAGCAGUUGCGGUUAUACAAAAAUUAAAUUAAAUUUUAUUAGUUAUUAAUAAUUAAUUUAAAAUUUAUUUAAAUUAGAAUUAAAAUUAUUAGGUGAAAUUUUAAUUUUAUAUUAUUUUAUUUAUUGUUUUUAAAUAUGAUUUAAUAAAUUUUGUUAUUAAACUAGGAUUAGAUACCCUAUUAUUAAAAAUUUAAAUUUUAUAAUGCUAAAAUAGUAUAUAAUUUUUUAUUGAAACUUAAAUAUUUUGGCGGUAUUUUAGUUUAUUUAGAGGAAUCUGUUUAUUAAUUGAUAAUCCACGAAUAAAUUUACUUAAUUUAUUAUUUUGUAUAUCGUUGUUAAAAAAAUAUUUUUAAAUAAUUAAAUAAUAUUUUAAUAUUAAUAUUUUAAAUUAAAUCAAAUCAAGAUGCAGAUUAUAAUUAAGAAUAUAAUGGAUUACAAUAAAUUUAUUUAAAUGGAAUUUAUUUUGUAAAAUUUAAUUGAAAGUGGAUUUAAGUGUAAUUUUAUUUAAUUUAAUAAAAUGAUUAAAAUUUAAAAUAUGUACAUAUUGCCCGUCGCUUUCAUAAAUAAGUUGGAAUAAGUCGUAACAAAGUAGAGGUACUGGAAAGUGUUUCUAGAAAGAU
rnacentral:ncRNA from 1 species